UACGAAGGGGGCUAGCGUUGCUCGGAAUCACUGGGCGUAAAGCGCACGUAGGCGGAUUGCCAAGUCAGGGGUGAAAUCCUGGAGCUCAACUCCAGAACUGCCUUUGAUACUGGCGACCCUGAGUCCGGGAGAGGUGAGUGGAACUGCGAGUGUAGAGGUGAAAUUCGUAGAUAUUCGCAAGAACACCAGUGGCGAAGGCGGCUCACUGGCCCGGUACUGACGCUGAGGUGCGAAAGCGUGGGGAGCAAACAGG
rnacentral:rRNA from 1 species